rnacentral:ncRNA from 23 species
UGUAAGUAUAUACUAAGUAGGUUCCUUUUAAAAAAUUCAAAGAAAUGGGUUGGGGAAACCGGUGAGAUUCCGGUACAGUGCCGCUACGGUAAGCCUCGUCAAACGAGGACAAGUCCGACUACCAUUCAUUUCUAAGUCCCGAGCA